GAUGAACGCUAGCGGCAGGCUAAUACAUGCAAGUCGGACGGGAUUGGAGAGCUUGCUUUCCAUGAGAGUGGCGCACGGGUGCGUAACACGUAUGUAACCUACCUUUAUCAGGGGGAUAGCCUCUCGAAAGAGAGAUUAAGCCCGCAUAACAUCACGAUAUAGCAUUAUAAUGUGAUCAAAUAUUUAUAGGAUAGAGAUGGGCAUGCGGAACAUUAGCUAGUUGGUAAGGUAAUGGCUUACCAAGGCUACGAUGUUUAGGGGAUCUGAGAGGAUGACCCCCCACACUGGUACUGAGACACGGACCAGACUCCUACGGGAGGCAGCAGUAAGGAAUAUUGGUCAAUGGGCGGAAGCCUGAACCAGCCAUGCCGCGUGCAGGAAGACGGCCCUACGGGUUGUAAACUGCUUUUGUACCGGAAUAAACCCUGAUUCGUGAAUCAGGCUGAAUGUACAGUAAGAAUAAGGAUCGGCUAACUCCGUGCCAGCAGCCGCGGUAAUACGGAGGAUCCAAGCGUUAUCCGGAUUUAUUGGGUUUAAAGGGUGCGUAGGCGGCCUGUUAAGUCAGGGGUGAAAGACGGUAGCUCAACUAUCGCAGUGCCCUUGAUACUGAUGGGCUUGAAUGUACUAGAGGUAGGCGGAAUGUGACAAGUAGCGGUGAAAUGCAUAGAUAUGUCACAGAACACCAAUUGCGAAGGCAGCUUACUAUGGUAUGAUUGACGCUG
rnacentral:rRNA from 1 species